rnacentral:rRNA from 1 species
UACAGAGGUCUCGAGCGUUGUUCGGAUUCAUUGGGCGUAAAGGGCGCGUAGGCGGCGGGGUAAGUCUGGUGUGAAAUCUCGGAGCUCAACUCCGAAAUUGCACUGGAUACUGCUCUGCUAGAGGGCUGGAGAGGAGAUCGGAAUUCACGGUGUAGCAGUGAAAUGCGUAGAUAUCGUGAGGAACACCAGAGGCGAAGGCGGCUACCUGGACAAUUGCUGACGCUCAGGCACGAAAGCGUGGGGAGCAAAAGGG